CCUGCUUUCAAGGUCCCGACUGGCGACGGGUGAUAACACGGGGUGUUCUGCCCUCCCUUCGGAUACCCUGGAAACUGGGUCGUAUACCGGAUGCCCAUCUUUAGUGUCGGUGGUGGAAAUUUUUCGGUUCAGGAUGACUCGCGCCCUAUCACUUUUGGUGGGGUAAUGCCCUACCAAGGCUCGACGGGUAACCGCCCUGAGAGGGUGGACGCCCCCAUUGGGACUGAGACACGGCCCAGACUCCUACGGGAGGCCCCAGUGGGGAAUUUUGCCAAUGGGCCCAACCCUGAUGCAGCGACCCCCCCGGGGGAUGAAGGCCUUCGGGUUGUAAACUCCUUUCAACCAUGACGAAGCGUAAGUGACGGUAGUGGUAGAAGAAGCACCGGCUUACUACGUGCCAGCAGCCGCGGUAAUAACGUAGGGUGCGAGCGUUGUCCGGAAUUACUGGGCGUAAAGAGCUCGUAGGUGGUUUGUCGCGUCGUCUGUGAAAUUCCGGGGCUUAACUCCGGCGUCCUGUCGAUACGCAUAACUUGGUUGCUGUAAGGGAACUGAAUUCCCUUUUUUACCGCUGAAAUGCGCAGAAAACAGGAGGAACACCAAUGGCGAAGGCAGGUCUCUGGGCCGGUGAAUGACGCUGAGGACGAAGCAUGGGUAGCGAAAAGGAUUAGAUACCCUGUUCCCCAUGCCGGAAAAAGAGGGCGCUAGGUGUGGGGGUCUUCUUUCCUUCGGUGCCGAAGAAACAUUAGGCGCCCCGCCUGGGAAGUACGGCCGCAAGGCUAAAACUCAAAGGAAUUGACGGGGGCCUGAACAAGCGGCGGAGCAUGUGGAUUAAUUGGAUGCAACGCGAAGAACCUUACCUGGGCUUGACAUAUGCCGGAUCGGCGCAAAGUUGCGUUUUCCCUUGUGGUCGGUAAAAAGGUGGUGCAUGGUUGUCGUCACCUCGUGUCGUGAGAGGAAGAGUUAAAGUCCCGCAACGAGCGCAACCCUUGUCUUGUGUUGCCAGCACGUUAUGGUGGGGACUCGCGAGAGACUGCCGGGGGUUAACUCGGGAGGAAGGUGGGGAUGACGUCAAAUCAUCAAGCCCCUUAUGGCCAGGGAUUCACACAUGCUAAAUGGGCGGUACAGGGGGUUGCAACACCGCGAGGGGGGCUAAUCCCUUAAAAGCCGGUCUCAGGUCGGAAUGGAAUCUGGAACUCGACCCAUGGAAACGGGAGUCGCUAGAACGGAAGAUCAUAAAGCUGUUCGGAAAAAAUUCUCCGGGGCGGGGGC
rnacentral:rRNA from 1 species